AAGGGAUUGCUGACUGAUAGUGCAAACAGUACUGUGAAGGAACUAAUGAAACUGGGCUAAAACACUAUAAACACUAAGUGCGCAUUCCACUAUACGUGAGCAUUAGCGCAUUACCAUUCUCCAGAGGAUUUAAAUGCACAAACCUAUUUAUGCCUUUUGGCAUAUGAUUACACUUCGUUAUAUAUCACCCGUUCAACAUUUUUACA
rnacentral:rRNA from 1 species